AACAGUUAAACAUCAAGGCCAAGAACUUUCGGGACCUGCUGACUGACGAGCCCUUCUCUAGGCAGGACAUCAUCACUCUCCAGGACCCCACUAAUUUGGACAAGUUCAAUGUCUCCAACUUCUUCCACGUUAAGAAUAACAUGAAAGUAAUAGACCCAGAUGAAGAAAAGGCCAAGCAGGACCCAUCUUAUUAUUUGAAAAACACAAACACUGAGACCCGAGAGACACUGCAGGAGCUCUACAAGGAAUUCAAAGGGGAUGAGAUUCUGGCAGCCACCAUGAAGGUUCCUGAGAAGAAGAAAGUGGACCAGUUGAACGCUGCUCACUAUUCCACGGGGAAGGUCAGUGCAUCCUUCACCUCUACUGCUAUGGUGCCAGAGACUACGCAUGAAGCAGCUGCCAUCGACGAGGACGUACUGCGUUACCAGUUUGUGAAGAAGAAGGGCUAUGUACGGCUGCACACCAACAAGGGCGAUCUCAAUCUGGAGCUGCACUGCGACUUGACACCGAAAACCUGCGAAAACUUCAUUAAACUCUGCAAGAAGCACUAUUAUGAUGGCACCAUCUUUCACAGAUCUAUCAGGAACUUUGUGAUCCAAGGUGGGGACCCUACAGGCACAGGCACAGGAGGAGAGUCAUACUGGGGAAAGACCUUCAAAGAUGAGUUCCGACCCAACCUCUCACACACGGGCCGAGGCAUCCUCAGCAUGGCCAACUCAGGGCCCAACACCAACAAGUCCCAGUUCUUCAUCACCUUCCGUUCCUGUGCAUACCUGGACAAGAAGCACACCAUCUUUGGACGGGUUGUUGGGGGUUUUGACACACUGACAGCCAUGGAGAAUGUGGAGAGUGACCCAAAGACGGACCACCCUAAGGAGGACAUCCGCAUCGACGCCACCACAGUGUUUGUGGACCCCUAUGAAGAGGCUGAUGCCCAGAUUGCUCAGGAGCGGAAGGCAAAGCUUGAAGUGACUCCAGAGGCCAAGAUAAAGACCAACCAGCCCCAGCCUGGGAGCCAGGGCCCCCAGACAUACCGCCAGGGAGUGGGCAAGUACAUCAACCCGGCAGCCACGAAACGUGUGGCAGAGGAAGAACCAUCAACCAGUACAGCUGCCCCUGUAGCCAAGAAAAAGCCCAGUUGGGGUUUCGGGGACUUCAGCUCCUGGUAGCAGCAGACUGCCAUACUGAAUCCUGGGAUCCUGACCCUGAUACCUCAGCUUCCUGGAAAGCCUUUUCCUCUGGGACAACACUACAGGGUGAAGACAGAAGCAGGACCUGGCAACCAUCAGUCUCUGAAGCGCUCUGAGGCCCUGCUGUGGGCACUGCAGGAAGCCAGGCCCAUCCCUUCAUAUCAAGGAACAGCCUCCCCACAGUGAACAGCAAGUAACCAAGAAGUCUGACAUAAGAUGCUUUAUUUAUAAACCUCGCAUGGACAGAAGACCAAGGCUGGCUGUGCUGCCAGGGCAGAGGACAGGCUGUAGGCAAGAGGUGUGCUUGAGCUUGGCAGUCCCAUGCUGGAGGUGGAGCUUCCAGCUGCCUUCAGGCCACCAUCCCUCGUCCUCUUAUCCUGUGUCCUCCCACCAGCAGCUGUCAGGGCCUGAGCCUGCUUCAAGGGGAAGGAGAAGGCCCAGUCCUAGCCCUCACUUGCCCUUCAGGCUUUUGACAAAGGGCUAACGUUUUUGUAGUUCAUUUUAGAGCUUUCCUGAUAGUAAAACCACAAAGAUUUUCUAGUAAUUGCCUGAUAAGAUCAUCAGGUAAAAUAAAGGACUUCUGGGGACAAAUCUCACUUCUGAUCCUUCAAAUAUCUGACAGAUGCCAUCAAUAUAAACAUUAAGGUAUAAAAAUACUGUGUUUAUAUAUAAAACAGCAACAAAGAACUACAUUUCUAAAGCAAGUAUAUUGUGCCAGAGGGUACUACAAAUGCAUUCAUAUCCUAGCAUAACUUCCCACUGUUCUCAAGGAAAUAUUUUAAAUAAAUAAAAGUCAAAGGAUAUUUAUUGUGUAGGAAUUUAAGAGUGUGGAACAGCAUUCCAGCUCUUCACCAGCACAUCUGCUUAGUCUUGUAUUACUUCCCCUGAAGCCAGCUCAUGGUCAGUUCAUUUGGUUUAAAAAGGAGCUUGUAUUUUGCAGAAGAAAGUACAAAACAAGUCAUAAGAAUACCAGUAAAAAGUUUUCAGUCAGCGCUGUCACAAAAGACAAUACAAAAAUGAAAGUGCUCAAAUGGAAGGAGCAGUAAACUUGCCCAGAACAUAUAAAAG